ACUCAGGCGUAAAAAAUCGAUCCUGGCCAAAAUCGAACCAACGCCCAGCUAGUCACGUGGCGCUCCUCCGGUCAUGUGACGCAGACGGUUCACCUCACAAGACCAGGGUCAACCAGGGCUACCAGCAUGAACGACGGCGCUUCACAACACCGUAUGAACUGACCAGUCUGGUGAAAUUCUGGACUGGAUGGGAGACUCUACCAAGAACUCUCUUCACAGAAGUAGUGAAUGGCAGAUAGCUGACAGCCUCCACCUGCUAUGAGACCUUACAUUCCCAGGACAUUACAAGGACUAUGCAUCAUUUAAGACUGACAUCCUGGCCUGUAUUUGCACUUGCCAGUCAAGAUAUGUUAGGUGUUGUUCUCUAGUUAGUUUUACUUGACUGACAAAACUAAGUGCACUUUUGGAUUCCCUCCCCUGCCUGUUCUCCUAACUCACCUGACAGGUUAUCUGGCUCAAGUAUGCGUGUUUCUGCCAUACAUUUAAAGUAUCUGAAGUUAAGAAUAUUUUUGGUGAACAAUACAUGCAAUUAAAGCAGGAGUAAAAAAUGAACCGGACUGUACUGUAUUUUGUCACUGGCGAAUGGGAUGAAAAUCCGUUGCAAUAUUACAAAACAGCAGCCUACAC
ensembl:lncRNA